rnacentral:rRNA from 1 species
UACGUAGGGUGCAAGCGUUAUCCGGAAUUAUUGGGCGUAAAGAGCUCGUAGGCGGUUUGUCGCGUCUGCUGUGAAAACUGGAGGCUCAACCUCCAGCCUGCAGUGGGUACGGGCAGACUAGAGUGCGGUAGGGGAGAUUGGAAUUCCUGGUGUAGCGGUGGAAUGCGCAGAUAUCAGGAGGAACACCGGUGGCGAAGGCGGGUCUCUGGG